rnacentral:rRNA from 1 species
CCUACGGGAGGCAGCAGUGAGGAAUAUUGGUCAAUGGACGCAAGUCUGAACCAGCCAUGCCGCGUGCAGGAAGACGGCUCUAUGAGUUGUAAACUGCUUUUGUACGAGGGUAAACGCAGAUACGCGUAUCUGUCUGAAAGUAUCGUACGAAUAAGGAUCGGCUAACUCCGUGCCAGCAGCCGCGGUAAUACGGAGGAUUCAAGCGUUAUCCGGAUUUAUUGGGUUUAAAGGGUGCGUAGGCGGGCGGAUAAGUUAGAGGUGAAAUCCAGAGGCUCAACCUCGGAAUUGCAUCUGAUACUGGUCGGCUAGAGAGUAGUUGCGGUAGGCGGAAUGUAUGGUGUAGCGGUGAAAUGCUUAGAUAUCACACAGAACACCGAUUGCGAAGGCAGCUUAC